rnacentral:ncRNA from 1 species
CAGAGUAGGCACUCCGCGUUUGCGCUUCGGCGCCCAGUGCCGCAGGAUGGGAAGUUGCCUGCGGACGAAAAUGCCCGGCUAGUCCGGGCUUGCGGUGGGGGGCCGCGUCCGCUGU